rnacentral:rRNA from 1 species
GAUCAUGGCUCAGAGUGAACGCUGGCGGCAGGCCUAAUACAUGCAAGUCGAACGGCAGCACAGCAGAGCUUGCUCUGUGGGUGGCGAGUGGCGGACGGGUGAGGAAUACAUGGGAAUCUGCCCAGUCGUGGGGGAUAACGUAGGGAAACUUACGCUAAUACCGCAUGCGCCCUUCGGGGGAAAGCCGGGGACCUUCGGGCCUGGCGCGAUUGGAUGAGCCCAUGUCGGAUUAGCUAGUUGGCGGGGUAAUGGCCCACCAAGGCGACGAUCCGUAGCUGGUCUGAGAGGAUGAUCAGCCACACUGGAACUGAGACACGGUCCAGACUCCUACGGGAGGCAGCAGUAGGGAAUAUUGGACAAUGGGCGCAAGCCUGAUCCAGCCAUGCCGCGUGAGUGAAGAAGGCCCUCGGGUUGUAAAGCUCUCUUGUCCGGAAAGAAAAGCGCCGGGUUAAUACCCUGGUGUCCUGACGGUACCGGAAGAAUAAGCACCGGCUAACUUCGUG